UCCAACCUCAUCAGUUCAGGCAUCCGGAU
rnacentral:piRNA from 1 species